rnacentral:lncRNA from 1 species
AUAAACCUCAAUACCCCGUCCGAUAUGAAGGUGAAACGGACCGUCCCCAUACCCCGUCCGGUAUGGAUGCCAAAACACAUAAAGUCUCCAUACCCCGUCCGGUAUGGAUGCCAAAACACAUAAAGUCUCCAUAUACCUUUUUCUAUUUUUCUUAAUUUCAAUUAUCCAAUCAAACACAAACACGUAAACCAGUAAUGGACACCAAACAAGGUAACACAACAUCAGGUUCAUAAUAAUUCAAACCAUAAUAAAUGAAACCGUGAUUCAUGCA